AUGUUGACAAAAUCACUUAAUAUGCAACCAUCCAUAGGAUUAGGAACCGGUACAAUCCAAUUUACAUCGACAAAACAUAUAACUACAAAGGUUGUCACUCGUGUUCUUGUCGUCGACCCUCCUGAUGGCAACUAUAUGGCAUGGCAGAUUCUGAUGGACAGCAACAUACCACAGUGCAGCGAUUUGUCUCUACUUGGUUCCCUGCAGUUUGUCUCUACUUGUUAUCCUGCAGUGUUCAAGAUACAGAAGAAAUUCAGAGAAAAUUUAGGGUUAAAGAUUCAGAGAGGAAGCGGUCACCAGAGAGAAGUGUGCCGAAUUAAAGUCAAAUGA
rnacentral:rRNA from 1 species